rnacentral:rRNA from 1 species
AUUGAACGCUGGCGACAUACCUUACACAUGCAAGUCGAACGGCAGCACGGGUGCUUGCACCUGGUGGCGAGUGGCGAACGGGUGAGUAAUACAUCGGAACAUGUCCUGUAGUGGGGGAUAGCCCGGCGAAAGCCGGAUUAAUACCGCAUACGAUCUACGGAUGAAAGCGGGGGACCUUCGGGCCUCGCGCUAUAGGGUUGGCCGAUGGCUGAUUAGCUAGUUGGUGGGGUAAAGGCCUACCAAGGCGACGAUCAGUAGCUGGUCUGAGAGGACGACCAGUCACACUGGGACUGAGACACGGCCCAGACUCCUACGGGAGGCAGCAGUGGGGAAUUUUGGACAAUGGGCGAAAGCCUGAUCCAGCAAUGCCGCGUGUGUGAAGAAGGCCUUCGGGUUGUAAAGCACUUUUGUCCGGAAAGAAAUCCUUGGCCCUAAUACGGUCGGGGGAUGACGGUACCGGAAGAAUAAGCACCGGCUAACUACGUG